GUUUAUACUUUUUUUAGAAUAA
rnacentral:tRNA from 1 species